rnacentral:rRNA from 1 species
GAUGAACGCUGGCGGCGUGCCUAAUACAUGCAAGUCGAGCGAACAGACCAGGAGCUUGCUCCUCUGACGUUAGCGGCGGACGGGUGCGUAACAUGUGGAUAACCUACCUACCAGACUGGGAUAAUUUUGGGAAACCGGAGCUAAUACCGGAUAAUAUAUUGAACCGGAUGGUUCAAUAGUUAAAGUCGGUUUUUCUGUCGCUUAUAGCUUGAUCCGCGCCGCAUGCGCUACUUGGUAAGGUAGCGGCUUUGCAAGGCAAAGAGGCGUAAGCGACCUGAGCGGGUGAACGGCCACACGGGGACUGAGACACAGUCAAGACUCCGACGGUGGGCAGCAGAAGGGAUUCGUCCGCGAUGGGCGAGAGCCUGACGGUGCAACGCCGCGUGAGUGAUGAAGGUCUUCGGCUCGUAGAACUAUGUUAUUAGGGGAGUAGCAAUGUGUAAGUAACUAUGAAGGUCUUGACGGUACCGGGUCAGAAAGCCCCGGCUAACUACGUG